UACGUAGGGGGCAAGCGUUGUCCGGAUUUAUUGGGCGUAAAGAGCGUGUAGGCGGCCAUACAGGUCAGCUGUGAAAACUCGAGGCUCAACCUCGAGACGUCGGUUGAAACCGUAUGGCUAGAGUCCGGAAGAGGAGAGUGGAAUUCCCGGUGUAGCGGUGAAAUGCGCAGAUAUCGGGAAGAACACCUAUGGCGAAGGCAGCUCUCUGGGACGGUACUGGCGCUGAGACGCGAAAGCGUGGGGAGCAAACAGG
rnacentral:rRNA from 1 species